ACCUUCCAGAGUGCGCAUACUAAAACAAACAAACAAACAAAAAAAAAAACAUAGACGCACGCAGUGUGGGAUACAGACGUGAGAUCUCGAGAAAUAAGUUCCAAAUUGGUUGUUUCACACGAGUGCAGUCACGCAGAGUUCCUGUUCCGCGCGCCGCAGGAACGAUCGUCGGACUGGAGCCUUUUACGCGCAUCUUUCCUGGAAUGUUCACACCAACUAACGGAAGCGGAUCGGCUGUUGCAGGCACGAGCUGAAGGUGACCUGAUGGCUGGACCAGGGGCUGCAACACAGGACAUGGGUCCUGUCUGUCCACCCCCUCGUGUCUUGUGUUGCAGCCAGUGGAGCUGCCUGUCUGCGUCUCUGCUGCCUGUCUGUCUGCUGCCAGUCGGUGAUGGACUGAGUCCCCAGAACAGAUGGAUCUUACAGACCUGUCAAUGCUUCUCUACUUUCUGCAA